rnacentral:rRNA from 1 species
AGUGGCGGACGGGUGAGUAACGCGUGGGUAACCUGCCUGAUGGAGGGGGAUAACUACUGGAAACGGUAGCUAAUACCGCAUAAUGUCGCAAGACCAAAGAGGGGGACCUUCGGGCCUCUUGCCAUCGGAUGUGCCCAGAUGGGAUUAGCUUGUUGGUGGGGUAACGGCUCACCAAGGCGACGAUCCCUAGCUGGUCUGAGAGGAUGACCAGCCACACUGGAACUGAGACACGGUCCAGACUCCUACGGGAGGCAGCAUG